CCCUUAGAUGUUCUGGGCUGCACGCGCGCUACACUGACGCACGCAACAGGUGCCUGCUCCGAGAGGACUGGGUAAUCAUUUGAGUGUGCGCCGUGAUGGGGAUAGAAUAUUGUAAUUAUUACUCUUCAACGAGGAAUUCCUAGUAAGCGCCAGUCAGCAGCUUGCGCUGAUUACGUCCCAGCCCUUUGUACACACCGCCCGUCGCUCCUACCGAUGGGUGAUCCGGUGAAUGAUUCGGACUUCAGCGGCUCCCCUGGGGUGCGCCGGAGAAAGUUUUGUGAACCUUAUCACUUGGAGGAAGGAGAAGUCGUAACA
rnacentral:rRNA from 1 species